rnacentral:rRNA from 1 species
GGACUACCAGGGUAUCUAAUCCUGUUCGCUCCCCACGCUUUCGUGCCUCAGUGUCAGUAACAGACCAGGAAGUCGCCUUCGCCACUGGUGUUCCUUCCGAUAUCUACGCAUUUCACCGCUACACCGGAAAUUCCACUUCCCUCUUCUGUACUCCAGUUAUCCAGUAUCAUAUGCAAUUCCUAGGUUAAGCCCAGGGAUUUCACAUCUGACUUAAAUAACCACCUACGCACCCUUUACGCCCAGUAAUUCCGAUUAACGCUUGCACCCUCUGUAUUACCGCGGCUGCUGGCAC